rnacentral:lncRNA from 1 species
GGGUGUCCAGGCGGAUCUCGGGAGGUAGUUCCAGGAGGUGCUCCAGGCGCUGAGAGCGAAUGGCGGUGCAGGAUUCGGGAAGCUAUUUCUUGAGAGGCUCAGAGUACUGUUAGAACCUGUGCAGCGGCAUCGAGAAGCUGUCAGAGAGGCGGUUCCUCGAGGGGCUCCACGUGCUGUCAGAACCGGGGCGGCCUCUAGUGUCUCUGCGUGCGUACAGCGCAGGGGACAGGGCCUCGAGGGGCUUCACAAGCGGUCAGAGCGGAGGUGCAGCCUGGAAGGAUUCGGUGUGCGGGCAGGCUGGGCAGCAACGCGGCCUCCUGGGACUCCACGUGCCGUCAGACUGCGGGGCGGGGCCUUGAGGGCUGGGCAGUUCUUCAGAGCACUCGGGGUGCUGAGAAUGGAAAGGGGUCCUUCAAGGUUUCUUCUCUAGGUUUCUUGGGGCAAUGAAAGUUGCCCGCCGAACUGGGCGGGCGCCUAGACCUCCGAGAGGCAAAGGGCUACACCAAGCCUCAGACUUGCCAGCGCUGCAGGUCCUUAUUCCAAAGCGUGGCUCACUGAAGACUUAAAAGCUGUGCCCCAGCCCUCUUGCCUGUGGGUACACAUUGUCCCUGGUGCUGGCCAACUGUAAGGUGGUCUAAGGGAGAUUACCAGGCCACUUUUGUGCUGAAGGUCAAUUGAAGUAAACAGCAGGACAGGGGCACGGUUCCUUUAAAGUAAGUAUUUUUUCUGUGUCCGUGGUUGCAGGAAUGUGGGGCUCCCAUCCUAUGUAAAAAUCCAACUGGGCUGGUAUGACCCAGGUGAAUCAUCCCCUAUGGAAAAGGAAUAAUGAAAUACUGACGAGUUGUUCUGACAAGUUGGUUUCUGUGCCACUAACAGCCCUGAUCUCCAAAAACUUAAAAAAUUUUAAAGGCAUUCUCUAAUCAUAUCUGAAUUUAAAUUUCAGGACAAACAACCACAGCUAUGUUAAGAAUGCUACAAGGUUAAUAUUGACUAAUUACAUUCAUGUUUGUGGAGAAUUGAAACGCUGUAGAUACAGAGCCAAUAUCUUGGGCUAUCUAGCCUCUUUAACAGCUAUUCAUUCCCACCUCUGCAUCUGCUCUAAUGCCCUUGUGACUAUCACGUGACAGGUUUUUUCCUUCAUAUUUACUACUAGCCUCCACAAACCCCAAAGCUAAGAAUGUCAUCGGAUUGCAGCAUCUGACACCUGUAGCAGAGAUUUCCCUGCUCUGCUCUGCCCCACUUACCUGAUAUUUCCAAUAAUGCAUCUGAAAGGGGCCUUGAUUUAUUACUUUCUUUUGUAACUGUAAAAACUUCAUGUACUCAUUUCCAUGUGGGAAAACAGUAUUUGGGGCAACCCCAAUACUCUGUUCCCCAGGCCAAGAUCACUCAAAUUUGGCUGCAGAAUAAACAAUUUUGAAA